rnacentral:rRNA from 1 species
CACGUUAUGGUGGGCGACUCGUAAGGAGACUAGCCGGUGACAAACCGGAGGAAGGUGGGGAGUGACGUCAAGUCAUCAUGGCCCUUACGGCCUGGGCUACACACGUGCUACAAUGGUCGGUACAAAGGGUUGCCAAGCCGCGAGGUGGAGCUAAUCCCAUAAAACCGAUCGUAGUCCGGAUCGCAGUCUGCAACUCGACUGCGUGAAGUCGGAAUCGCUAGUAAUCGUGAAUCAGAAUGUCACGGUGAAUACGUUCCCGGGCCUU